rnacentral:tmRNA from 1 species
GGGGAUGACGGAUUUUGACAGAAGGUUGCACAUUGAAAAUACAAGCCGAGAGUUCCCGCGAACUCGUUAAAUCCCGGGAAACAUAUCAAAUGGCAACUUUGUUGCUAAGGUGAAGGGCGCAUUUGUUAACGCAUUUGCAUUCUCACCGGUUUUGGCCUAACUUAGGCUGAAACGCGCGCCUUUGGGUUUUCUGCGCUCAAAGAUCACGCGUCAUCAUUUGCAGAGUAUAUUUGCGCGUUUGGCUUACGCACGCAAAUGAAAACUUGUAAGCCGACUUUGCGGUUAUUUUGUUGGCUUGCUGCCGCGAAGAACUAAAAACCAACUAAGCUUGUGAACAAUUUUCCUUGGAAUACUUUUUGGACCCGGGUUUAACUCCCGGCAUCUCCACCA